UACGAAGGGUGCAAGCGUUACUCGGAAUUACUGGGCGUAAAGCGUGCGUAGGUGGUUUGUUAAGUCUGAUGUGAAAGCCCUGGGCUCAACCUGGGAAUUGCAUUGGAUACUGGCAGGCUAGAGUGUGGUAGAGGGAGAUGGAAUUCCGCAUGUAGCAGUGAAAUGCGUAGAUAUGUGGAGGAACACCAGUGGCGAAGGCGACUUUCUGGUCUGUAACUGACGCUGAGGCGCGAAAGCGUGGGGAGCAAACAGG
rnacentral:rRNA from 1 species